GUUUGAUCCUGGCUCAGGACUAACGUUGGCGGCGUGCGUAAUACAUGCAAGUCGAACGAAGAGGGAAACCUCUUAGUGGCGAACGGGUGCGUAACACGUGGAUGAUCUGCCCUCAAGAUUGGAAUAACCAGCCGAAAGGUUGGCUAAUACCGAAUAUGACUACAACCAGUAUCGCCUGGUAGUGGUAAAAGGUGGGGACCUUCGGGCCUACCACUUGGGGAUGAGUCCGCGCCUGAUUAGCUUGUUGGUAGGGUAACGGCCUACCAAGGCGACGAUCAGUAGCCGGCCUGAGAGGGUGAACGGCCACACUGGAACUGAGAUACGGUCCAGACUCCUACGGGAGGCAGCAGUAGGGAAUUUUCCACAAUGGGCGAAAGCCUGAUGGAGCAACGCCGCGUGAGGGAUGAAGGUUUUCGGAUCGUAAACUUCUUUGAUAGGGGAAGAACCGCUAAUGGGCUAAUAAUCUGUUAGUCUGACGGUACCCUAAAAACAAGUCACGGCUAACUCUGUGCCAGCAGCCGCGGUAAUACAGAGGUGACAAACGUUGUCCGGAAUCACUGGGCGUAAAGGGCAUGUAGGCGGUUAGAUAAGUCAGAUGUGAAAGCUCCGGGCUCAACCCGGGAACUGCAUUUGAAACUGUCUAACUUGAGUUCGGUAGAGGAGGGCGGAAUUCCUGGUGUAGCGGUGAAAUGCGUAGAUAUCAGGAGGAACACCCGUGGCGAAGGCGGCUCUCUGGUCCGAUACUGACGCUGAAAUGCGAAAGCUAGGGUAGCAAACAGGAUUAGAUACCCUGGUAGUCCUAGCUGUAAACGAUGAGUACUAGGUGUUGGAGGUAUUGACCCCUUCAGUGCCGUAGUUAACGCGUUAAGUACUCCGCCUGGGAACUACGACCGCAAGGUUGAAACUCAAAGGAAUUGACGGGGGCCCGCACAAGCGGUGGAGCAUGUGGUUUAAUUCGAUGCAACGCGAAGAACCUACCUGGGUUUGACAUCCUUGGACCGCUCACGAAAGUGAGUUUUCCCGUAAGGGACCAAGUGACAGGUGCUGCAUGGCUGUCGUCAGCUCGUGUCGUGAGAUGUUGGGUUAAGUCCCGCAACGAGCGCAACCCCUAUCUUUAGUUGCCAACAGGUAAUGCUGGGAACUCUAAAGAGACUGCCCCGGACAACGGGGAGGAAGGUGGGGAUGACGUCAAGUCAUCAUGGCCCUUAUAUCCAGGGCUACACACGUGCUACAAUGGCCGGUACAACGGGCAGCGAUAUCGUAAGAUGGAGCUAAUCCCUUAAAACCGGUCCCAGUUCGGAUUGAGGGCUGCAACUCGCCCUCAUGAAGUUGGAAUCGCUAGUAAUCGCGGAUCAGCACGCCGCGGUGAAUACGUUCCCGGGCCUUGUACACACCGCCCGUCACACCACGGAAGCUUGUUGUACCAGAAAACGGUGCGCUAACCCUUAGGGGAGGCAGCUGUCUACGGUAUGGCCAGUGACUGGGGUGAAGUCGUAACAAGGUA
rnacentral:rRNA from 1 species